UCAGUGAUUAUAGUUAAGAUGUUGAUCUUCCGAAUGGCUGAUAAUCAUUACUGAAAGAGCAGACCAAUUUCCAUUGAGGACUUACAAACAAACAAGCAAAAUAUUCUCUCUCAAAGGGAACAUGAAAGGAGAGGGAGAGUUGGCUGCCAGCUGCGGUGUUUUCCUGGCAGCAUCACAGUCUGUUUCCAUAUACAGGUACCUAUCAUAACUGGCUGUCAUUUGCUACCUGGUGUUAUUCUUUUCCACUGCAUGCAGGCUCCUCUGCCUACUUCAAGGAAAGGCUACUCAGGCUUCAUCAGGGGAAAGCUACAAAGCGGAUAGGAGAGGAACAGCAACUGCAUGUGGGUCCAGAGAAUGUCUACAGGAAAGAAAUACAUCCCGUUUGCUUUUCCAGUCUGGCACCCAGUGAUGGAGCUCUGCUUGGGACAGAAACCAUGGGUUUGCUGAUGUAGUGAUGGUUUUUCACUGUUGAAGGGAGAACACUGGAGAAAACUGGAAGAGAUGCUCAGAAACAGCACAAGG
ensembl:lncRNA